UGAACGCUGGCGGUAGGCCUAACACAUGCACAUCGAACGGCAGCACAGUAAGAGCUUGCUCUUACGGGUGGCGAGUGGCGGACGGGUGAGGAAUACAUCGGAAUCUACUUUUUCGUGGGGGAUAACGUAGGGAAACUUACGCUAAUACCGCAUACGACCUACGGGUGAAAGCAGGGGAUCUUCGGACCUUGCGCGAUUGAAUGAGCCGAUGUCGGAUUAGCUAGUUGGCGGGGUAAAGGCCCACCAAGGCGACGAUCCGUAGCUGGUCUGAGAGGAUGAUCAGCCACACUGGAACUGAGACACGGUCCAGACUCCUACGGGAGGCAGCAGUGGGGAAUAUUGGACAAUGGGCGCAAGCCUGAUCCAGCCAUACCGCGUGGGUGAAGAAGGCCUUCGGGUUGUAAAGCCCUUUUGUUGGGAGAGAAAAGCAGCAGGUUAAUACCCCGCUGUUCUGACGGUACCCAAAGAAUAAGCACCGGCUAACUUCGUG
rnacentral:rRNA from 1 species